CAUGUGUUAGAAAAUCAAUUUUAGAUUCUCGGACUUGAGACGUACCUUCAUAAGUGAUCUCGAGUUUAUCCCACAUUUCCUUUGCGGUUGUGCAACAAAAGAUUUUCCGAUAGUCGUCCGGAUUCACCGCACAAAAUAGUAAGUUGAUGGCCGUUGCGUUUCUUUCAAUUUUCUUGAUGUCCUCGGCAUCAUAUUCAUUUUCCUCCUUUGGAACCAUGAUUUCCCCAACUUUCUUGUUGGCAUUUGUUCACCUUUCUUGAUGAUUUGCCAUAAUCGAAAGUUGUGUGAUUGAUGAAUAUUUUCAUCCGCUCUUUCCAGUAUGUAUAAUUUCUUCCAUCAAAAAAUGGAGGCCUCUCGGUGGAGUGUCCUUCGCUCAUUAUUCCUGCGUUC
rnacentral:lncRNA from 1 species